UUGCAUUGUUUAAAUGGUUUUACUAUCCGUGCUUUGUGUAGGCUGUACUGUUGUUUAAAUCUAGGUAAUCUUAUGUGAGUUUGCUUAUUUAUAGUGCUUAAUUUGAUGUCACAAGUCUUAUUCCAGUGUAGUAUUCAAAAAAAGAACAGAACUUGGCACAGAUGAGUAACUUGGUUUGGAUGUGGAGAAGCAGUCAGCUGUCACUGGUUUUCAGUUUCAGGAGAGACAGUAGCACCAAAAAAAGCUGUUGACUUAAAGCUUUUAAAAAAGGUUACAUACAACUUUUUUGGCAACCACUUGAUCACCUGAUAUCAUACACAAUCAUGACCUUUCCUGUGUGUUUCAGCAUUUGUUUUUGGACACACUUUUCCAUGUCAAAAAGUCACGUAGCAGUAUUUGCAUAUAAUGUCAUCUGUUCACAAAUAUUAGUUUAAAACAUUCACCGAAUCACGAAGAUCUGCAUGUAUGUAACAUUUAGUUAAAUCUCAGGCAUGUGAGCAGAGAUUUGCAAAUGGAAAAUAUCUGGCAGAUUAUUUAUUGGGCAAUUAAACCUUAGUGAUCACUGCAAUACUAAUCUUGUUUCAUAGUGAUAUUAUGACUCAAAGUUAUAUACAGCAUGUUCUUAUAUGGAGAAAACAUUAAAUAUAGCACAGUGAGAGCUUCUGUUUACAUUGGGGGGAAGUUGUGAACAAAUGCUUAGAGAGUCGGACAUUUAACCCAAAGGUCACCGGUUUUGGUCUCGGUACCAGAAGAGAUUAUAGUUGGGGAAGUAAAUAACCAGCGCUGUGUUCCACCCUCUAUACCAUGACUGAGGUGGGACUCCCUGAGUGUGUUUGUUCACUAUUCACUGCUGUGCAUAUGUACUUAGAUGGGUGAAAUGCAGAGCACAGAUCCCGAGUAUGGGAGACCAGAUGUGGCCAUGUUAUAUACUUUCCUUUUUUUAAGGGUUAUAUUACACAUCCAGGUCACAGUGAAGGCUUACCCAAGCUCUCGUCAAUCCAUCAAUAUCUUUCUGUACCUCCAAUCCUGAAGGGUGACGAGAGCAUUGGCGCUGUUCUGAACAGGGACUUCGGGAUCCUCAUCGUUCUCAGUGCACGUGAUUCUUGGUUGCGGAGGGAGCAUGGUCAUAGUUCUGCUACCACAGCUGGAAAAAAUCCUAGAGGAAACACUACAAGAUUAGCUGCAACUGUACUAGUGAUGCUAACUAGCAUCACGGCUCUUGGCUCUCAGCUUGUUGACCUGGGACUCAGCGAUGUCAGCACGCUCCUGAGCCUCCUCCAUCUCGUGCUGCACCUUCCUGUACCUGGACAGGUGAGUGUUGGCCUGCUCCUCCUGUAAGGAUGACACAAG